rnacentral:rRNA from 1 species
GACGAACGCUGGCGGCGUGCUUAACACAUGCAAGUCGAACGGAGUGGCGAACGGGUGAGUAACACGUGGGUGAUCUGCCUUGCACUUCGGGAUAAGCUUGGGAAACUGGGUCUAAUACCGGAUAGUGCAAGAUGAGCUCGCGGCCUAUCAGCUUGUUGGUGGGGUAAUGGCCUACCAAGGCGUCGACGGGUAGCCGGCCUGGGAGGGUGUACGGCCACAAUGGGACUGAUGGACUGGCCAGACUCCUACGUGGGGCAACAGUGGGGAAUAUUGCACAAUUGGCGGAAGCCUGAUGCGACGGCCCCGCGUGGGGGAAGGAAGCCUUCGGGUUGGAAACUCCUUUCGACAGGGACGCGGUACCUGUAUAAGAAGCACCGGCUAACUACGUGCCAGCAGCCGCGGUAAUAC